GACGAACGCUGGCGGCGUGCUUAACACAUGCAAGUCGAACGAAGAGCGAUGGAAGCUUGCUUCUCUCAAUCUUAGUGGCGAACGGGUGAGUAACGCGUAAUCAACCUGCCCUUCAGAGGGGGACAACAGUUGGAAACGACUGCUAAUACCGCAUACGAUCUAAUCUCGGCAUCGAGGAUAGAUGAAAGGUGGCCUCUACAUGUAAGCUAUCACUGAAGGAGGGGAUUGCGUCUGAUUAGCUAGUUGGAGGGGUAACGGCCCACCAAGGCGAUGAUCAGUAGCCGGUCUGAGAGGAUGAACGGCCACAUUGGGACUGAGACACGGCCCAGACUCCUACGGGAGGCAGCAGUGGGGAAUCUUCCGCAAUGGACGAAAGUCUGAAGGAGCAGCGCCGCGUGAGUGAUGACGGCCUUCGGGUUGUAAAGCUCUGUUAAUCGGGACGAAAGGCCUUCUUGCGAAUAGUGAGAAGGAUUGACGGUACCGGAAUAGAAAGCCACGGCUAACUACGUG
rnacentral:rRNA from 1 species